rnacentral:siRNA from 1 species
GGGAAAAAUAAAUUUUGGCGCCA